CUCCGUAGGUGAACCUGCGGAGGGAUCAUUACACAAAUAUGAAGGCGGGCUGGAACCUCUCGGGGUUACAGCCUUGCUGAAUUAUUCACCCUUGUCUUUUGCGUACUUCUUGUUUCCUUGGUGGGUUCGCCCACCACUAGGACAAACAUAAACCUUUUGUAAUUGCAAUCAGCGUCAGUAACAAAUUAAUAAUUACAACUUUCAACAACGGAUCUCUUGGUUCUGGCAUCGAUGAAGAACGCAGCGAAAUGCGAUAAGUAGUGUGAAUUGCAGAAUUCAGUGAAUCAUCGAAUCUUUGAACGCACAUUGCGCCCUUUGGUAUUCCAAAGGGCAUGCCUGUUCGAGCGUCAUUUGUACCCUCAAGCUUUGCUUGGUGUUGGGCGUCUUGUCUCUAGCUUUGCUGGAGACUCGCCUUAAAGUAAUUGGCAGCCGGCCUACUGGUUUCGGAGCGCAGCACAAGUCGCACUCUCUAUCAGCAAAGGUCUAGCAUCCAUUAAGCCUUUUUUUUCAACUUUUGACCUCGGAUCAGGUAGGGAUACCCGCUGAACUUAAGCAUAUCAAUAAGCGGAGGAA
rnacentral:rRNA from 1 species